rnacentral:rRNA from 1 species
CUACGGGAGGCAGCAGUGGGGAAUAUUGCACAAUGGGCGCAAGCCUGAUGCAGCGACGCCGCGUGCGGGAUGGAGGCCUUCGGGUUGUAAACCGCUUUUGAUCGGGAGCAAGCCCUUCGGGGUGAGUGUACCUUUCGAAUAAGCACCGGCUAACUACGUGCCAGCAGCCGCGGUAAUACGUAGGGUGCAAGCGUUAUCCGGAAUUAUUGGGCGUAAAGGGCUCGUAGGCGGUUCGUCGCGUCCGGUGUGAAAGCCCAUCGCUUAACGGUGGGUCUGCGCCGGGUACGGGCGGGCUGGAGUGCGGUAGGGGAGACUGGAAUUCCCGGUGUAACGGUGGAAUGUGUAGAUAUCGGGAAGAACACCAAUGGCGAAGGCAGGUCUCUGGGCCGUCACUGACGCUGAGGAGCGAAAGCGUGGGGAGCGAACAGGAUUAGAUACCCUGGUAGUCCACGCCGUAAACGGUGGAUGCUGGAUGUGGGGCCCGUUCCACGGGUUCCGUGUCGGAGCUAACGCGUUAAGCAUCCCGCCUGGGGAGUACGGCCGCAAGGCUAAAACUCAAAGAAAUUGACGGGGGCCCGCACAAGCGGCGGAGCAUGCGGAUUAAUUCGAUGCAACGCGAAGAACCUUACCUGGGCUUGACAUGUUCCCGACAGCCGUAGAGAUAUGGCCUCCCUUCGGGGCGGGUUCACAGGUGGUGCAUGGUCGUCGUCAGCUCGUGUCGUGAGAUGUUGGGUUAAGUCCCGCAACGAGCGCAACCCUCGCCCUGUGUUGCCAGCACGUCGUGGUGGGAACUCACGGGGGACCGCCGGGGUCAACUCGGAGGAAGGUGGGGAUGACGUCAGAUCAUCAUGCCCCUUACGUCCAGGGCUUCACGCAUGCUACAAUGGCCGGUACAGCGGGAUGCGACAUGGCGACAUGGAGCGGAUCCCUGAAAACCGGUCUCAGUUCGGAUUGGAGUCUGCAACCCGACUCCAUGAAGGCGGAGUCGCUAGUAAUCGCGGAUCAGCAACGCCGCGGUGAAUGCGUUCCCGGGCCUUGUACACACCGCCCGUCAAGUCAUGAAAGUGGGCAGCACCCGAAGCCGGUGGCCUAACCCCUUGUGGGAUGGAGCCGUCUAAGGUGAGGCUCGUGAUUGGGACUAAGUCGUAACAAGGUAGCCGUACCGGAAGGUGCGGCUG